GACAGAGGUCCCGAGCGUUAGACGGAAUCACUGGGCUUAAAGCGUGUGUAGGCGGAUGGGUGAAGUACCUUGUGAAAUCCCGAGGCUCAACCUCGGAACUGCCUUCGAUACUGGCGACCUUCGAGUCCGGGAGAGGUGAGUGGAACUCCGAGUGUAGAGGUGAAAUCGUAGAUAUUGGGAGGAACACCAGUGGCGAAGGCGGCUCACUGGGACCGGAACUGACGCUGAGGCGCGAAAGCGUGGGGAGCAAACAGG
rnacentral:rRNA from 1 species